rnacentral:rRNA from 1 species
AAUUGGAGGGCAAGUCUGGUGCCAGCAGCCGCGGUAAUUCCAGCUCCAAUAGCGUAUAUUAAAGUUGUUGCAGUUAAAAAGCUCGUAGUUGAAUUUCGGGAUCAAUAUUUCGGUCAUGCCGUUGGUAUGCACUGUUAUCAUUGAUUUCUCACCUUCUAAAGAACCGUAAUGCCAUUAAUUUGGUGUUACGGGGAAUUAGGACUGUUACCUUGAAAAAAUUAGAGUGUUUAAAGCAGGCUCACGCUUGAAUACAUUAGCAUGGAAUAAUGAAAUAGGACAUCCGAUUCUAUUUUGUUGGUUUCUAGGAUCGAUGUAAUGAUUAAUAGGGAUAGUUGGGGGCAUUAGUAUUCAAUUGUCAGAGGUGAAAUUCUUGGAUUUAUUGAAGACUAACUACUGCGAAAGCAUUUGCCAAGGAUGUUUUCAUUAAUCAGGAACGAAAGUUAGGGGAUCGAAGACGAUCAGAUACCGUCGUAGUCUUAACCAUAAACUAUGCCGACUAGGGAUCGGAUGAUGUUAAUUUUUUAAUGACUCAUUCGGCGCCUUACGGGAAACCAAAGUGU